AUUGAACGCUGGCGGCAGGCUUAACACAUGCAAGUCGAGCGAGCGGCGGACGGGUGAGUAAUGUCUGGGAAACUGCCUGAUGGAGGGGGAUAACUACUGGAAACGGUAGCUAAUACCGCAUACCAUCAGAUGUGCCCAGAUGGGAUUAGCUAGUAGGUGGGGUAAUGGCUCACCUAGGCGACGAUCCCUAGCUGGUCUGAGAGGAUGACCGGCCACACGGGAACUGAGACACGGUCGAGACGCCUACGGGAGGCAGCAGGGGGGAAUAGUGGACAAUGGGGGGAAGCCUGAUGCAGCAAUGCCGCGGGUGUGAAGAAGGCCUUCGGGGUGUAAAACACUGUCAGCGAGGAGGCGUUACUCGCAGAAGAAGCAACGGCUAACUCCGUGCCAGCAGCCGCGGUAAUAC
rnacentral:rRNA from 1 species